rnacentral:rRNA from 2 species
UCUAAGCGGGACGUGAUACGCUGCGAUAAGCGUCGGGGAGGUGCGAAUACCCUUUGAUCCGACGAUUUCCGAAUGGGGCAACCCACCUUUGAUGGCUAGAAAAUCUGAACCGUUCUUUGCGGAACGGCUCAAGUUUCUAGCUAUCGUAUAAAGGUAUCUAACUCUGAAUACAUAGGGGUUAGAAGCGAACCUGGGGAACUGAAACAUCUAAGUACCCAGAGGAAAGGACAUCAAACGAGACUCCGCUAGUAGUGGCGAGCGAACGCGGACCAGGCCAGUGGCUUUUGUGAAUGAAGUGGAACGAGUUGGAAAACUCGACCGAAGUGGGUGAUAGUCCCGUACACGUAGAAUAGCAGAAGUCCUUGAGUAGGGCGGGACACGUGAAAUCCUGUCUGAACAUGGGUCGACCACGAUCCAAGCCUAAGUACUCGUGCAUGACCGAUAGCGAACCAGUACCGUGAGGGAAAGGUGAAAAGCACCCCGACGAGGGGAGUGAAACAGUACCUGAAACCGGAUGCCUACAAACAGUUGGAGCCCAAGAUUUGUUCUGGGUGACAGCGUACCUUUUGUAUAAUGGGUCAGCGACUUAGUGUAUCGAGCAAGCUUAAGCCGGUAGGUGUAGGCGCAGCGAAAGCGAGUCUGAACAGGGCGUUCAGUUCGAUGCAUUAGACCCGAAACCAAGUGAUCUAGCCAUGAGCAGGUUGAAGGUACGGUAACACGUACUGGAGGACCGAACCCAUAUCUGUUGCAAUAGAUCGGGAUGACUUGUGGCUAGGGGUGAAAGGGCCAUCAAACUUGGAGAUAGCUGGUUCUCCGCGAAAUCUAUUUAGGUAGAGCGUCGACCGAAUACCCCCGGGGGUAGAGCACUGGAUGGGCUAUGGGGACUCACCGUCUUACUGAUCCUAACCAAACUCCGAAUACCGGGGAGUACUAGUCGGCAGACACACGGCGGGUGCUAACGUCCGUCGUGGAGAGGGCAACAACCCUGACCACCAUCUAAGGUCCCUAAGUUAUGGCUAAGUGGGAAAGGAUGUGAGGAUCCCAAAACAACCAGGAUGUUGGCUUAGAAGCAGCCAUCAUUUAAAGAAAGCGUAACAGCUCACUGGUCUAAAUAAGGGUCUUUGCGCCGAAAAUGUACCGGGGCUCAAGCCAUACACCGAAGCUGUGGAUGCACGUAUGUGCGUGGUAGCGGAGCGUUCCGUAAGCCUGUGAAGGGACAGUCGUGAGACAUCCUGGAGGUAUCGGAAGUGAGAAUGCUGACAUGAGUAACGAUAAAGGGAGUGAGAGACUCCCUCGCCGAAAGUCCAAGGGUUCCUGCUUAAAGUUAAUCUGAGCAGGGUUAGCCGGCCCCUAAGGCGAGGCCGAAAGGCGUAGUCGAUGGGAACCACGUUAAUAUUCGUGGGCCUGCAGGUAGUGACGGAUCGCGUGUGUUGUACGUUCUUAUUGGAUUGAACGUGCAGCGAAGCGGUUCCAGGAAAUAGCUCCUGCAUAUAGACCGUACCCUAAAC